rnacentral:rRNA from 1 species
UACAGAGGUCUCAAGCGUUGUUCGGAUUUAUUGGGCGUAAAGGGCGCGCAGGCGGCUACGCACGUCCGUUGUGAAAUCGCUCGGCUCAACUGGGCGGGGUCAGCGGAUACGGCGUGGCUGGAGCAAGCUAGGGGGCAAUGGAAUUCCCGGUGUAGUGGUGGAAUGCGUAGAUAUCGGGAGGAACACCAGUGGCGAAGGCGGUUGCCUGGAGCUUUGCUGACGCUGAGGCGCGAAAGCGUGGGUAGCAAACAGG